rnacentral:tRNA from 1 species
GCCCAAGUAGCUCAGUUGGAAGAGCAUGGUCUAAAGUUAGCCAUUGUUUAAAUCCGCAGACCAUAAAGCGGUUGAGAGUCGCAGGUUCGAAUCCUGUCUUGGGCA